rnacentral:rRNA from 1 species
GAUGAACGCUGGCGGCGUGCCUAAUACAUGCAAGUCGAGCGAACGGACGAGAAGCUUGCUUCUCUGAUGUUAGCGGCGGACGGGUGAGUAACACGUGGAUAACCUACCUAUAAGACUGGGAUAACUUCGGGAAACCGGAGCUAAUACCGGAUAAUAUUUUGAACCGCAUGGUUCAAAAGUGAAAGACGGUCUUGCUGUCACUUAUGGAUGGAUCCGCGCUGCAUUAGCUAGUUGGUAAGGUAACGGCUUACCAAGGCAACGAUGCAUAGCCGACCUGAGAGGGUGAUCGGCCACACUGGAACUGAGACACGGUCCAGACUCCUACGGGAGGCAGCAGUAGGGAAUCUUCCGCAACGGGCGAAAGCCUGACGGAGCAACGCCGCGUGAGUGAUGAAGGUCUUCGGAUCGUAAAACUCUGUUAUUAGGGAAGAACAUAUGUGUAAGUAACUGUGCACAUCUUGACGGUACCUAAUCAGAAAGCCACGGCUAACUACGUG